rnacentral:rRNA from 1 species
GGUGUCGAGCGGCGGACGGGUGAGUAAUGCUUGGGAAUAUGCCUUAUGGUGGGGGACAACAGUUGGAAACGACUGCUAAUACCGCAUGAUGUCUACGGACCAAAGUGGGGGACCUUCGGGCCUCACGCCAUAAGAUUAGCCCAAGUGGGAUUAGCUAGUUGGUGAGGUAAUGGCUCACCAAGGCGACGAUCCCUAGCUGGUUUGAGAGGAUGAUCAGCCACACUGGGACUGAGACACGGCCCAGACUCCUACGGGAGGCAGCAGUGGGGAAUAUUGCACAAUGGGCGCAAGCCUGAUGCAGCCAUGCCGCGUGUGUGAAGAAGGCCUUCGGGUUGUAAAGCACUUUCAGUAAGGAGGAAAGGUUAAGUGUUAAUAGCACUUAGCUGUGACGUUACUUACAGAAGAAGCACCGGCUAACUCCGUGCCAGCAGCCGCGGUAAUACGGAGGGUGCGAGCGUUAAUCGGAAUUACUGGGCGUAAAGCGUACGCAGGCGGUUUGUUAAGCGAGAUGUGAAAGCCCC